rnacentral:siRNA from 1 species
GGUACAACAAAGUGCAACGUUAG